rnacentral:lncRNA from 1 species
UUCUAGCCCUUGGAUCUACUCCCCACUUACUAAUACCCCUUUGGAUCAAACACUAUUCCACCUACCACCAUCAUCUCAACCCUACAUCUCUUCCUCCAAUGGUUAAAAACACAAAAGCACCACCCCCUUGGUGCUUUUGAGAGUACUCUAGCUCAACUAUAUAUAUAUAUAUAUAGUAGGGCUAGAAUACUUGUAAAAGUAUCAUGGGGUGAUACUUGUGUGUUUUUAGCCCUUGGAUGGAGAGAUGUGAGGUUGAGAUGAUGGUGGUAGGUGGUGGUAGGUGGAAUAGUGUUUCAUCCAAGGGCUAUUAAUAAUCAAAAAGUAGAUCCAAUGGCUUAAAACCUAAUA